AUUGAACGCUGGCGGCAUGCUUUACACAUGCAAGUCGAACGGUAACAGGCCUUCGGGUGCUGACGAGUGGCGCACGGGUGAGUAAUGCAUCGGAACGUGCCCAGAGGUGGGGGAUAACGCAGCGAAAGCUGUGCUAAUACCGCAUGUGAUCUGAGGAUGAAAGCGGGGGACCAGGCAGCAAUGUUUGGCCUCACGCCUUUGGAGCGGCCGAUGUCAGAUUAGGUAGUUGGUGGGGUAAAGGCCUACCAAGCCGACGAUCUGUAGCUGGUCUGAGAGGACGACCAGCCACACUGGGACUGAGACACGGCCCAGACUCCUACGGGAGGCAGCAGUGGGGAAUUUUGGACAAUGGGCGCAAGCCUGAUCCAGCAAUGCCGCGUGCGGGAAGAAGGCCUUCGGGUUGUAAACCGCUUUUGUACGGAACGAAAAGGCUCUGGCUAAUACCUGGGGCUGAUGACGGUACCGUAAGAAUAAGCACCGGCUAACUACGUG
rnacentral:rRNA from 1 species